rnacentral:rRNA from 1 species
UUAAGCGACUAAGCGUACACGGUGGAUGCCCUGGCAGUCAGAGGCGAUGAAGGACGUGCUAAUCUGCGAUAAGCGUCGGUAAGGUGAUAUGAACCGUUAUAACCGGCGAUUUCCGAAUGGGGAAACCCAGUGUGAUUCGUCACACUAUCAUUAACUGAAUCCAUAGGUUAAUGAGGCGAACCGGGGGAACUGAAACAUCUAAGUACCCCGAGGAAAAGAAAUCAACCGAGAUUCCCCCAGUAGCGGCGAGCGAACGGGGAGCAGCCCAGAGCCUGAAUCAGUGUGUGUGUUAGUGGAAGCGUCUGGAAAGGCGCGCGAUACAGGGUGACAGCCCCGUACACAAAAAUGCACAUACUGUGAGCUCGAUGAGUAGGGCGGGACACGUGGUAUCCUGUCUGAAUAUGGGGGGACCAUCCUCCAAGGCUAAAUACUCCUGACUGACCGAUAGUGAACCAGUACCGUGAGGGAAAGGCGAAAAGAACCCCGGCGAGGGGAGUGAAAAAGAACCUGAAACCGUGUACGUACAAGCAGUGGGAGCACGCUUAGGCGUGUGACUGCGUACCUUUUGUAUAAUGGGUCAGCGACUUAUAUUCUGUAGCAAGGUUAACCGAAUAGGGGAGCCGAAGGGAAACCGAGUCUUAACUGGGCGUUAAGUUGCAGGGUAUAGACCCGAAACCCGGUGAUCUAGCCAUGGGCAGGUUGAAGGUUGGGUAACACUAACUGGAGGACCGAACCGACUAAUGUUGAAAAAUUAGCGGAUGACUUGUGGCUGGGGGUGAAAGGCCAAUCAAACCGGGAGAUAGCUGGUUCUCCCCGAAAGCUAUUUAGGUAGCGCCUCGUGAAUUCAUCUCCGGGGGUAGAGCACUGUUUCGGCAAGGGGGUCAUCCCGACUUACCAACCCGAUGCAAACUGCGAAUACCGGAGAAUGUUAUCACGGGAGACACACGGCGGGUGCUAACGUCCGUCGUGAAGAGGGAAACAACCCAGACCGCCAGCUAAGGUCCCAAAGUCAUGGUUAAGUGGGAAACGAUGUGGGAAGGCCCAGACAGCCAGGAUGUUGGCUUAGAAGCAGCCAUCAUUUAAAGAAAGCGUAAUAGCUCACUGGUCGAGUCGGCCUGCGCGGAAGAUGUAACGGGGCUAAACCAUGCACCGAAGCUGCGGCAGCGACGCUUAUGCGUUGUUGGGUAGGGGAGCGUUCUGUAAGCCUGUGAAGGUGUGCUGUGAGGCAUGCUGGAGGUAUCAGAAGUGCGAAUGCUGACAUAAGUAACGAUAAAGCGGGUGAAAAGCCCGCUCGCCGGAAGACCAAGGGUUCCUGUCCAACGUUAAUCGGGGCAGGGUGAGUCGACCCCUAAGGCGAGGCCGAAAGGCGUAGUCGAUGGGAAACAGGUUAAUAUUCCUGUACUUGGUGUUACUGCGAAGGGGGGACGGAGAAGGCUAUGUUGGCCGGGCGACGGUUGUCCCGGUUUAAGCGUGUAGGCUGGUUUUCCAGGCAAAUCCGGAAAAUCAAGGCUGAGGCGUGAUGACGAGGCACUACGGUGCUGAAGCAACAAAUGCCCUGCUUCCAGGAAAAGCCUCUAAGCAUCAGGUAACAUCAAAUCGUACCCCAAACCGACACAGGUGGUCAGGUAGAGAAUACCAAGGCGCUUGAGAGAACUCGGGUGAAGGAACUAGGCAAAAUGGUGCCGUAACUUCGGGAGAAGGCACGCUGAUAUGUAGGUGAAGUCCCUCGCGGAUGGAGCUGAAAUCAGUCGAAGAUACCAGCUGGCUGCAACUGUUUAUUAAAAACACAGCACUGUGCAAACACGAAAGUGGACGUAUACGGUGUGACGCCUGCCCGGUGCCGGAAGGUUAAUUGAUGGGGUCAGCGCAAGCGAAGCUCUUGAUCGAAGCCCCGGUAAACGGCGGCCGUAACUAUAACGGUCCUAAGGUAGCGAAAUUCCUUGUCGGGUAAGUUCCGACCUGCACGAAUGGCGUAAUGAUGGCCAGGCUGUCUCCACCCGAGACUCAGUGAAAUUGAACUCGCUGUGAAGAUGCAGUGUACCCGCGGCAAGACGGAAAGACCCCGUGAACCUUUACUAUAGCUUGACACUGAACAUUGAGCCUUGAUGUGUAGGAUAGGUGGGAGGCUUUGAAGUGUGGACGCCAGUCUGCAUGGAGCCGACCUUGAAAUACCACCCUUUAAUGUUUGAUGUUCUAACGUUGACCCGUAAUCCGGGUUGCGGACAGUGUCUGGUGGGUAGUUUGACUGGGGCGGUCUCCUCCUAAAGAGUAACGGAGGAGCACGAAGGUUGGCUAAUCCUGGUCGGACAUCAGGAGGUUAGUGCAAUGGCAUAAGCCAGCUUGACUGCGAGCGUGACGGCGCGAGCAGGUGCGAAAGCAGGUCAUAGUGAUCCGGUGGUUCUGAAUGGAAGGGCCAUCGCUCAACGGAUAAAAGGUACUCCGGGGAUAACAGGCUGAUACCGCCCAAGAGUUCAUAUCGACGGCGGUGUUUGGCACCUCGAUGUCGGCUCAUCACAUCCUGGGGCUGAAGUAGGUCCCAAGGGUAUGGCUGUUCGCCAUUUAAAGUGGUACGCGAGCUGGGUUUAGAACGUCGUGAGACAGUUCGGUCCCUAUCUGCCGUGGGCGCUGGAGAACUGAGGGGGGCUGCUCCUAGUACGAGAGGACCGGAGUGGACGCAUCACUGGUGUUCGGGUUGUCAUGCCAAUGGCACUGCCCGGUAGCUAAAUGCGGAAGAGAUAAGUGCUGAAAGCAUCUAAGCACGAAACUUGCCCCGAGAUGAGUUCUCCCUGACUCCUUGAGAGUCCUGAAGGAACGUUGAAGACGACGACGUUGAUAGGCCGGGUGUGUAAGCGCAGCGAUGCGUUGAGCUAACCGGUACUAAUGAACCGUGAGGCUUAACCUU